AGCUAAUAUAAUUGAUGAAGAUUGGUUUGGUAAAUACAGUGAGGCCACUUUCGAAUUCUUUCCUCUAGAUUAUAAAGAAAACCUCUUGCGGAAUUGCAAGGUGAAGAAGGGUGGAGUUCGUCUGCUACUUUGUGAGAGGAUAGCCAUCAGAACCUAUAAUUCUGAUGAGGAAGAGGAACCAUGUCCUAAGAGAUUGAAAUGUCUCCAAGAAUAGCCAUGUGAAUCUG
rnacentral:misc_RNA from 1 species